AUUGUUUCUCGUCUAGUUCGGCUGGAUCGGUGACGAGGUGCUGCAUGGCUGUCGUCAGCUCGUGUCGUGAGAUUGUUGGGUUAAGUCCCGCAACGAGCGCAACCCCUUUUAUCAGUUGCCAACAGGUAAUGCUGGGAACUCUGAUGAUACUGCCGGUGAUAAGCCGGAGGAAGGCGGGGAUGACGUCAAGUCCUCAUGGCCCUUACGGCCUGGGCUACACACGUACUACAAUGGUGGUGACAAUGAGCAGCUAGGUAGCAAUACCAUGCAAAUCUCCAAAAGCCACCUCAGUUCAGAUUGCACUCUGCAACUCGAGUGCAUGAAGUUGGAAUCGCUAGUAAUCGUGGAUCAGCAUGCCACGGUGAAUACGUUCCCGGGUCUU
rnacentral:rRNA from 1 species